rnacentral:rRNA from 1 species
GUGCCAGCCGCCGCGGUAAGACAGAGGGUGCAAACGUUGUUCGGAAUCACUGGGCGUAAAGCGCGUGUAGGCUGCUGCGCAAGUCGGAUGUGAAAUCCCACGGCUCAACCAUGGAAGUGCAUUCGAAACUGCGUAGCUAGAGUUUUGGAGAGGAAGGCGGAAUACUCGGUGUAGAGGUGAAAUUCGUAGAUAUCGAGUGGAACACCGGUGGCGAAGGCGGCCUUCUGGACAAUGACUGACGCUGAAACGCGAAAGCGUGGGGAGCAAACAGGAUUAGAUACCCGUGUAGUCC